UACGUAGGGUGCAAGCGUUAAUCGGAAUUACUGGGCGUAAAGCGUGCGCAGGCGGUUCUAUAAGACAGAUGUGAAAUCCCCGGGCUCAACCUGGGAACUGCAUUUGUGACUGUAGAGCUGGAGUGCGGCAGAGGGGGAUGGAAUUCCGCGUGUAGCAGUGAAAUGCGUAGAUAUGCGGAGGAACACCGAUGGCGAAGGCGGCAUCCUGGACCGGCAUUGACGCUGAGGCGCGAAAGCCAGGGGAGCGAACGGG
rnacentral:rRNA from 1 species